UACGAAGGGGGCUAGCGUUGCUCGGAAUCACUGGGCGUAAAGGGUGCGUAGGCGGGUCUUUAAGUCAGGGGUGAAAUCCUGGAGCUCAACUCCAGAACUGCCUUUGAUACUGGAGAUCUUGAGUCCGGAAGAGGUAAGUGGAACUGCGAGUGUAGAGGUGAAAUUCGUAGAUAUUCGCAAGAACACCAGUGGCGAAGGCGGCUUACUGGUCCGGAACUGACGCUGAGGUGCGAAAGCGUGGGGAGCAAACAGG
rnacentral:rRNA from 1 species